GCCAGGCGUGGUGGUGCGUGCCUGUCGUCCCAGCUACUCGGGAGGCUGAGGCUGGAGGAUUGCUUGAGUCCAGGUGUUCUGGGUUGCAGUGCGCUAUGCCAGUCAGGUGUCCGCACUAAGUUCGGCAUCAAUAUGGUGACCUCCCAGGAGCGGGGGACCAUCAAGUGGCCUAAGGAGGGGUGAACCGGCCCAGUUCGGAAGCAGAGCAGGUCAAAACUCCUGUGCUGAUCAGUAGUGAGAUCGCGCCUGUGAAUAGACAUUGAACUCCAGCCUGGGCAACAUAGCAAGACCCCGUCUCU
rnacentral:SRP_RNA from 1 species